UGAAAUUCAUCAAAUUAACACGAAGGUAGUAUAUUACAAUUUUUCCAGUCUAUUACAAAGCAGAUAUGUCUAUUAUUACAAUAUAUAAUAUGCAAUAUUACAAUAUAUAAUAUGCAUUCUUGGAUAAGUAGAGCUUCACACAAUUGGCUUCAAGGCUUCGCACUUCAACUUUCUUAGGCCUGGAGGUCCUGUAGAAGAAACAACCAUAUUUGUAAGAGCUACAAGAUACAGAUCAAGAAUAGAAACAAGGCACAAAGACAAGCAAUCCUUGGCGGAAACCUUGAGGCGACAAAUGUUUCUGAACUCAAAUGAGAGAAGUUUGAGUCUAGCCAAUUAAACCAACUACCACUGAUGUAACCUAUAAAGAUGGACUGAACAAUAACAAUACAAAAAAUGACAGCUGAAUUAUGAAGAGUCCUAAAAUUGACCCCUUUUGGCCUUAAUUAAUUGUGUGAAGCUGAAAUGAUUAAUCUAAAGUAAGAUAUACCGGUAUGUAGGCAAGAAAUGUAGUUGAAUGACCCAUAUUUGAAUAACUCAAAAAAGAAGGCAGCAUCAAAUACUAUAGUAAUUAUUAUUGGACAUGAUAUAGUAAGGUACUCUCACUGGGUAAGGUACUCUGCAGUACACGUACGUCGUACCAAAGUAUGCGUCGAGACAGUAAGCAGACACUAUUAGAUAGUCUUGUACGCACAUUUUUCCACAUGUAUUUAUAAUAAUUAUUUUUUAGUAAUAUAUGUUGCCAAUGCUAUGUAUCACUAAUUCAGUCCAGCUAAACCGACAAAUGCUACGGGCAGAAGUCCCAUCAGCAUGACAAAUACCCCCCUAAGUCUGAACAACUAGUCCUCGCUUGCGACUACCCAGAUGAUACAAUAAAACCCAUGCGAUUUAGUAUGAUAACAAAGUGCUGGUUUGGCCGCCAACUCAAAACAGCAAUUAAUUUGUACACUCUGUGACACGCAAGUGAAAGGCCACUAACAGAUGCUCUAUCUAACAGUACCUCGGUGAUGACACACUCUGGAGCCAAGUUCCUGAAAUGCACAAACAAUAGUGUAUGGAAAUCUGAGUUCAAAUGCUACAGGAGUAACCAGUUUUUUCAAUGUGUAAAUCAUGUGUUGAACAAAGCAGAAUAAUCAUAAACAAACAGAACUACUUCAGAUCCCAUUGCAAUGUCUAACAAGUAGAUUAGAAGUAUCUCUGCUACUGUACUAACCUCAAAUGAGAGGCCAACCUAUUGCUUUAAGUUAAGCCAAAUGUGAGCUAGUAGUGAGUGCCAAGUGCCAUCCAGAUUGGAAACUACUGUAAUGACAUUCAUCUACAAUGGAAACUGAUACAUUUUGGCAUCAAGAUUUCUUCUUGCCAAAAUAUGACAACAAGCACUGCCAAGACAUGAUCCCCACAUUUUUCACUCGCAGCAAAAGUGCAAAGCAUGAUAUCACACCAAAUAGACAAAUCAAGAAAUGCCUCCUAUCAAGUGCAAAGCAUGCUAUCACACCAGAAAGAUUUGGCAACAAAUCACAAGAGAGCGAGCGAGCAGUAAGAUCAUACCCGUUCCUUCCUAUGCAUCGCCUCUCCCGCGCGCAACAAGUUGAACUGCGCAAGAGGAAACGAAGAAACGCUCAGGAACGCACUCCAGGCCAGACGAGUUGGGCGCCUCCCUCAUCUCCGCCACCGCGGGUCCGGCUCCAUUGGAGGGGGCGUAGGAGCGCUCAUGGGCCGGUUCUUGGUCGCGGCCGUCCUCGCCCGGUUCUGCUGCUCCUGAACCGGACGGUUCCAUCACGAAUCUGCUAGCAGCAAGUAACAAAAUAACUCAGUUCAGAUCAUAGCAAGAAACUUAACUCAGUUCAGAUCAUACUUAUCGGAAAACAGUAGCAGAUUGGCUAUCAGAAGAAUUCAGAAGUUCAGUACAGAAUACAUUACUGAAGCUUAACUCAAUUCUUAACAGAGAUAAUAAAGAUGCAUCACAAGAAACUGCUUAAGCUUGCAUGCCAUGAUUAAGAAAACAUAUGCAGCAACAGCUAUAAGAACAGAAUCCAACAACGAAUGACUGAAGUCUGAAAGGAUCCUUAUUAUUUAGAACAAGAUUACAACAGCACAUAGCAUCUGAGAACGAAAUGUGGCUUACAGUAACAAGUAGCACGGCAAGCUUUCUCAAGAGAUCACAAGCAUAUAACGGCAAAAAGGGCUAGAUUCCAAAAAUAAAUUUCUAAACGCAGGACAAAAUAUUGCACAACAAAAUCUCUAUCAGAAAAAUUUCUACAUGGAGAU
rnacentral:lncRNA from 1 species